rnacentral:rRNA from 1 species
AGUGAACGCUGGCGGCAGGCCUAACACAUGCAAGUCGAACGGCAGCACAGUAAGAGCUUGCUCUUAUGGGUGGCGAGUGGCGGACGGGUGAGGAAUACAUCGGACUCUACAUUUUCGGGGGGGAUAACGUAGGGAAACUUACGCUAAUACCGCAUACGACCUACGGGUGAAAGCAGGGGAUCUUCGGACCUUGCGCGAUUGAAUGAGCCGGUGUCGGAUUAGUGAGUUGGCGGGGUAAAGGCCCACCAAGGCGACGAUCCGUAGCUGGUGUGAGAGGAUGAUCCGCCACACUGGAACUGAGACACGGUCCUGACUCCUACGGGCGGCAGCAGUGGGGAAUGUUGGACGAUGGGCGCAAGCCUGAUCCAGCCAUGCCGCGUGGGUGAAGAAGGCCUUCGGGUUGUAAAGCCCUUUUGUUGGGAAAGAAAAGCAGCAGGUUAAUCCCCCGCUGUUCUGACGGUACCCAAAGAAUAAGCACCGGCUAACUUCGUG